rnacentral:rRNA from 1 species
UACGUAGGUGGCAAGCGUUAUCCGGAAUUACUGGGCGUAAAGCGCACGCAGGCGGUCUUUUAAGUUUGACGUGAAAGCUCUCGGCUUAACUGGGAGAGGUCGUUGAAGACUGGAAGGCUUGAGGCAAUGAGAGGGGUGUAGAAUUCCCGGUGUAGUGGUGGAAUGCGUAGAUAUCGGGGGGAAUACCAGUGGCGAAAGCGGCACCCUAGCGUUAGCCUGACGCUCAUGUGCGAAAGCGUGGGGAGCGAACGGG